rnacentral:tRNA from 1 species
GCCCGGAUGGCGAAAUAGGUAGACGCAAGGGACUUAAAAUCCCUCGGUGGCGACACCGUGCCGGUUCGAGCCCGGCUCCGGGCACCA